ensembl:snRNA U6 U6 spliceosomal RNA
UUGCUUUGGCAUCACAUAUACUAAAAUUGGAACGAUUCAGAGAAGAGUAGCAUGGCCCCUGUGAAAAGAUGACACAAAAAUUUGUGACACAUUCCAUAUUUUU